rnacentral:rRNA from 1 species
AGCCAGACUCCUACGGGAGGCAGCAGUGGGGAAUAUUGCACAAUGGGGGAAACCCUGAUGCAGCGACGCCGCGUGAGCGAUGAAGUAUUUCGGUAUGUAAAGCUCUAUCAGCAGGGAAGAAAAUGACGGUACCUGACUAAGAAGCCCCGGCUAACUACGUGCCAGCAGCCGCGGUAAUACGUAGGGGGCAAGCGUUAUCCGGAUUUACUGGGUGUAAAGGGAGCGUAGACGGCUGUGCAAGCCAGAUGUGAAAGCCCGGGGCUCAACCCCGGGACUGCAUUUGGAACUGUGUGGCUGGAGUGUCGGAGAGGCAGGCGGAAUUCCUAGUGUAGCGGUGAAAUGCGUAGAUAUUAGGAGGAACACCAGUGGCGAAGGCGGCCUGCUGGACGAUGACUGACGUUGAGGCUCGAAAGCGUGGGGAGCAAACAGGAUUAGAUACCCGCGUAGG